UACGGAGGGUGCAAGCGUUAAUCGGAAUUACUGGGCGUAAAGCGCACGCAGGCGGUCUGUCAAGUCAGAUGUGAAAUCCCCGGGCUUAACCUGGGAACUGCAUUUGAAACUGGCAGGCUUGAGUCUCGUAGAGGGGGGUAGAAUUCCAGGUGUAGCGGUGAAAUGCGUAGAGAUCUGGAGGAAUACCGGUGGCGAAGGCGGCCCCCUGGACAAAGACUGACGCUCAGGUGCGAAAGCGUGGGGAGCAAACAGG
rnacentral:rRNA from 1 species